rnacentral:tmRNA from 1 species
GGGGGUGUACUGGCUUCGACGUGGGUUGUGAAGCAAAAGGAGCAUACCGGGGCGCAUGAGGACCCUGUUAAAAACGUGCACUUUUGUAGUUUCAAACGAUAACUACGCAUUAGCAGCUUAGUUCUGCUACGGAACUUAGGUGAAUCGCCGAUGUUGAUUUAAGUUCCGUCAUUAAUGUCGGAUCGGUCUGUAUGAGUUUCUCGAGCGUACAGACUUAAGAGUUACUCGGGGAGUGUCGUCGGGAAUUUUGUUCGUAGAGGUCCCGCCGGCAAACUAAAAUACGAACUAAGUAUGUAGUCGCCUUUCUGUGAAUCACUUGCGGACCCGGGUUCAACUCCCGGCACCUCCACCA